CCUACGGGCGGCAGCAGUGGGGGAUAUUGCACAAUGGGGGGAACCCUGAUGCAGCGACGCCGCGUGGGUGAAGGAGUGCUUCGGCAUGUAAAGCCCUAUCGGCAGGGAAGAAGCAAGACGGUACCUGACUAAGAAGCCCCGGCUAACUACGUGCCAGCAGCCGCGGUAAUACGGAGGGGGCGAGCGUUAUCCGGAUUCACUGGGGGUAAAGGGAGCGUAGCCGGCGAUGCAAGGCAGGGGUGAAAGCCCGGGGCCCAACCCCGGGACUGCCCUUGGAACUGGGCGGCUAGAGUGCGGGAGGGGUAGGCGGAAUUCCUGGUGUAGCGGUGAAAUGCGUAGAUAUCAGGAGGAACACCGGCGGCGAAGGCGGCCUGCUGGACCGCGACUGACGUUGAGGCUCGAAAGCGUGGGGAGCGAACAGGAUUAGAUACCCCUGUAGUC
rnacentral:rRNA from 1 species